AAAGGCACAUUAAGAAUAUGAAUUAUUAAGAAUACAUUUACAAUGUAUGCAAUGUAAUCAAUUUACACUAAAUCAUUCUACAUUGUCACUCAGGAUGAUAACAGAAACAGUUAACAGAUACCUCAGUAGGAGUAACAAAUAUUAAGACUACUUGGAUGUGAUCCCAAUUGACUGAUUUAAAUGGUGUCCAUUGAUUUCAAUAGAGUUGUUCCAUUUUAUAUGAGAUGAAGAUUUUCUCACUUAGCUGUUUAUAGCUCACACAAUAUGGUCCUGUUGGUUAAAAGUACUGCAGCCCACUGCCUAAAUACUUUUAGCAAUGUUAUGCUGAACUGAAAUUGAGUGUGGUGGUACACUACAGCCAAAGCAUCAUAAAGGACUUUCUCCUCAGUAUUUAUACACAGAAGGUCUCUUCCACAGCUAAGUUACAGCAAUUUCCUUCUCCUCCUGGGCUCUAUGGAGGACAAAUCAGGACUGCUGCACAUGAUGGGGGCAGUCUGACCACAAGUUCUUUUCAUCCAUAGAAAUGCUUAUUUCAGAAACCACAUUAAUGGAACAGCAUCAGAAAGCAUACACUGUUGUACCAAUUUGUACCUCUUACACUGAGAGGAUUUAAAUCCACAAAGCUGAGAAUAUGUUACUCUUCUGAGGCAGUAAAACUUACUAAAAUAAAUUUAAAAGGAGGGAGGUGAAAAUUCAGAAGUUAUGUAUAAGAGCAAGCCAUUUCUUCUAGAUAAAUGCUUCAGAGAUGUACUUUCCAUAAAGAAACACCAAGAACACAGUUUGUUACAAGCAAAGUUAACAUUUGAGAGGAUUUGUGGAAUAAUAAUAUUUUAUAUAAUGAAGCAUAACUUUAUAGUCUUUCUAAUAAAAACAAAUGAAUGGAGAUAAUAUAUCUGAAUGCUCAUAUGAACUGGUCAGAAAACAAGACGUCCAGUUAAUUAAUAAUUUCCUAGUUUUGGGAUUUGUCUUCCUCAGAAGCAUAACUGGGCAGUGCUGCAAGGUGGUGCAUGGGGAAUGGGCAGUGGCCUGUAGAGGCUUAAUGGGGAAACCUGUCGCUGCAUAAGUUAACAGAGAAGCCAUUACAGAAAUACAUGUUAAGCAGUAAUUUAAAUGCCAAAAUUAUGAAGCAAAUAAAAGGGAUGAGAAGGGUUAAUCAAUACUUCUCCCUUCAAUGGCAGUUUCCUCUAGGAGAGACCCGCCAGUCAGUGCCAAGCACAUAGUUGCUGCUCUGCCCUCCCUACCCAUCUCACAGCCAGCACUGUACCUACUUGCCAGAAUCCCUGCAAGUGCAUGGUACAGCAGGGGAAUGAAAGUGUGAGGCACCUGCCCUGGCUUGGCAGCCCUUGCGGCUCCUGCCCAGCUUGCCCACCUAUAGUUCUUCUACUGAUCUUCACUUUGCACUGGAAUGAAACAGAGACCUUUUGGCAAUUUUAUUUUGGAAAAAGAUAAAAAUGGAGACUAAUACCAUGGAAUAGAAAUAGCUCAGUCAUUGAGCUACACACAAAAGACUAAUGACGCCCAUAUUGUCACAGCAGGUCUUAAUGGUCUGUUCUCUCAAGGAUGUUUAUGUGAAAAGAUUUGGGUUCAAGAAUUUGCCCUUUUUCAAUGAAAAACCUAUCUUG